rnacentral:rRNA from 1 species
UUAGGAAUCUUCCACAAUGGGGGCAACCCUGAUGGAGCAACACCGCGUGCUGGAUGAAGGCUUUCGAGUUGUAAACAGCUUUUAUUUGCGAAGAAUAUGACGGUAACAAAUGAAUAAGGGUCGGCUAACUACGUGCCAGCAGCCGCGGUCAUACGUAGGACCCAAGCGUUAUCCGGAGUGACUGGGCGUAAAGAGUUGCGUAGGCGGUCUUUUAAGCGAGUAGUGAAAUCUGAUGGCUCAACCAUCAACCCAUUGCUCGAACUGGGAGACUUGAGAAUGGUAGAGGUAGUUGGAAUUUCUUGUGUAGGAGUGAAAUCCGUAGAUAUAAGAAGGAACACCAAUGGCGUAGGCAGACUACUGGACCAUUUCUGACGCUGAGGCACGAAAGCGUGGGGAGCGA